rnacentral:rRNA from 1 species
GGGGAAUUUUCCACAAUGGGCGAAAGCCUGACGGAGCAACGCCGCGUGAGGGAUGAAGGCCUCUGGGCUGUAAACCUCUUUUAUCAAGGAAGAAGAUCUGACGGUACUUGAUGAAUAAGCCACGGCUAAUUCCGUGCCAGCAGCCGCGGUAAUAUGGGAGUGGCAAGCGUUAUCCGGAAUUAUUGGGCGUAAAGCGUCCGCAGGCGGCCCUUCAAGUCUGCUGUUAAAAAGUGGAGCUUAACUCCAUCAUGGCAGUGGAAACUGAGGGGCUUGAGUGUGGUAGGGGCAGAGGGAAUUCCCGGUGUAGCGGUGAAAUGCGUAGAUAUCGGGAAGAACACCAGUGGCGAAGGCGCUCUGCUGGGCCAUCACUGACGCUCAUGGACGAAAGCCAGGGGAGCGAAAGGGAUUAGAUACCCCUGUAGUC